AAAGCACAUAAACGUCGUGCUGCGUGACCCUGAAAAAGCAAACACACAUGAGAGAAAAAAAGCAAACCGUAAACAACAAACAAAGAGAGCUAGGACGUAUUUUUCUGGAAAAACUACCACUGCUGUAGCGAUGAAACUGCUUUCCCUGCUUAUAGUGCUCUCCUCAGAUGCUGUUCAAGAACGGCCCAAUUCGACCGACCGCUCCUCUUCUCACUGGUCCCACGACGAGUUCUCGGAGAAGCUGAAGAUUCAUCCACUAGAGGGCAGCCUUCUACAGAUUAACACGUUGCAAAGUCGGCUUCCUAAGAGAAACUAGGACUCGAGAGCAAGCUGUAGAAUGGUCUGACUGGUUUUCUUCUUCUUUUUUUUUUUUUUUCUUCUUGAAG